GUAGUGGUGAUUCAAUGUAGAAGUCUUGCCUUCCAUGUGGGAAACCUGGGUUCAAUUCCUGGCCAGUGCA
rnacentral:tRNA from 1 species